GAUGAACGCUGGCGGCGUGCCUAACACAUGCAAGUCGAGCGAUUUACUUCGGUAAAGAGCGGCGGACGGGUGAGUAACGCGUGGGUAACCUGCCCUGUACACACGGAUAACAUACCGAAAGGUAUGCUAAUACGAGAUAAUAUACUUUUAUCGCAUGGUAGAAGUAUCAAAGCUCCGGCGGUACAGGAUGGACCCGCGUCUGAUUAGCUAGUUGGUAAGGUAACGGCUUACCAAGGCGACGAUCAGUAGCCGACCUGAGAGGGUGAUCGGCCACAUUGGAACUGAGACACGGUCCAAACUCCUACGGGAGGCAGCAGUGGGGAAUAUUGCACAAUGGGCGAAAGCCUGAUGCAGCAACGCCGCGUGAGCGAUGAAGGCCUUCGGGUCGUAAAGCUCUGUCCUCAAGGAAGAUAAUGACGGUACUUGAGGAGGAAGCCCCGGCUAACUACGUG
rnacentral:rRNA from 1 species